rnacentral:rRNA from 1 species
GACAGAGGUGCCGAGCGUUAGGCGGAAUCACUGGGCUUAAAGCGUGUGUAGGCGGAUCCGUAAGUACCUUGUGAAAUCCCACGGCUCAACCGUGGAACUGCUUGGUAUACUGCGGGUCUUGAGCCAUCUAGGGGCAACCGGAACAAACGGUGGAGCGGUGAAAUGCGUAGAUAUCGUUUGGAACGCCAAUGGUGAAAACAAGUAGCUGGGGAUGUGCCGACGCUGGAGACAGGAAAGCCAGGGGAGCGAACGGG